CACGGGUGAGUAACACGUAUCCAACCUGCCGUCUACUCUUGGACAGCCUUCUGAAAGGAAGAUUAAUACAAGAUGGCAUCAUGAGUCCGCAUGUUCACAUGAUUAAAGGUAUUCCGGUAGACGAUGAGGAUGCGUUCCAUUAGAUAGUAGGCGGGGUAACGGCCCACCUAGUCUUCGAUGGAUAGGGGUUCUGAGAGGAAGGUCCCCCACAUUGGAACUGAGACACGGUCCAAACUCCUACGGGAGGCAGCAUG
rnacentral:rRNA from 1 species